GCUAAUUCUGUACAUUCAAAUGAAACAGAGGGGAAAUAUACUGAAUGGAGCCCAUGUAUAAGAUCAUAUGAAAUGUAAAAAGCCUUGUUGUUCUGCGCACACACUGCCUCUUCAAUCCAGUUCUGCUUAAAUGCCCAUUCUUCUCGUUUGGCAUCUCCUUGUCCCUCUAUGGCCGAAUCAAAAGAGGGACGAAAUAAUGACACAAAGAUUUUUAAAAACUCAGCCCCAGCUGCAGCAGGGAGAAGCCUGAAGCGAAACGUGAGAGCGUACGGCUCUUUGUUAGGGUUUCCUUGGCUAUAGAAUAUGGUAUAUGAAACGCCUGGCGUAUCCCGUUCGGUCCUAUGGAGGGAGAGCUCUUAAGGUGGCUCCUCCGGGUUUGGGGCGGCUGUGGGGAGCCAGCCCUGCAUUUGCAGGCAGCGAACGUCCCACCUGCAGGACCCCGCGCCCCAGGGCUGCUCUGCAGGCGGUGGGUGGUCCGGAUGGGAUUUUGCUUUCUUUAUUGUAGCUGCCGCUUUGCGUGGGGAAACCUAACUCAACGCUCCUCGUCGGGAGAUGGUUCCAGUUUAUACGGGCUUCUAGGAAACAGAGACGCUUUUCUCCAUGCACACGCGAGCAUGGCACCACCUUGCCCAGCCAUGGGCUGAACUCUGCAUUUUGGAGCUGGUAGGUGCCCAGGCGGCUGCGGGCCCCCAUUGCCACCAACACAGCCCCGGCGUGUCCCCACCACAGGUGGCAGUGCUGCGGGAAGUGUCAGCCACCCAACAGGACCAGCAGCACUGAACCACAGCCACUCAGUGCGGCGGGGAGCCGGUCUGAGCAGCUCUGAGCCACGUUGCUUAACCUAAACAAAUGCUCUGUAAACAUCAACACUAAUUCCUUGUCUACGGGCCGCAGCGCUUUCCUCUCCUAGGCUCCUCCAGCAGCAAUCUGCUGGUGCCCGCUGUGUUUUCCACAGGACCUAUCUCUGUCACAGCCACCAGCCCGUCCCCUGUAGGACAGGAUCCCCUCUCAGCCCUUGGGACAUGCUAGCAAUGGGCUCCUCACGUGGGUUCCCCCUGGGAAAACCCAGUGAUGCUGGGAUACUCGGAGCAUGAAAGCACCAAAGGCCCAGCAGCCAGCCCUGCCACCUCAACAGCGCCGGUGAGGAGCAGCACAUUCCUCUGCAGCAGCUGGAGCUGCCUCAUGACACUGGUGUGCGUGGCUGGCAGCACGCUGGUGCAGAGCAGCGGGGGACAGCCAGGGCGGGCAUGUGACACCCUGGCUGCUAUUCCUGCUCCGAGGGACUGUCACACGGAGCGAGAAUCACCCGGCGACAGCACACAAGGCAGGUGCGUGACCCAAACCUUCCUGACCGCUUCCCAAGGAUGGACUGAGGUCUGGAAGAAGCUGCUCGGUGUCACUGGAGCAAGGCGAGCUCCCUGUGUGCUGCCAGCUCAGCUCUGCAGAGAGCUCCGUAGGGCAGCACCCCACAGGCAGGCUUUGGCAGGGAGCUCUGUACCUUGGAGCUGCCUUCCCGCAGUGGUAGCUGGAGCUGGUUCUAAUACUUAGAUGGUUUUAAUGUGGAAACAAGAAUCCAUGAGCUGUCAGCUCUCCCCAGCCAGGCACCAUCCCAGAGCUCGGCAAACACAGAGCAUGGGAGACCUGCAGCUGCCGAAUAGCGGCUCUCUCUUCCGCUCGAGCCAGACAUGCGAGGGGUGCUGCAUCCACCCACCGUUUGACGAUACCCGUGUUGCCCACCCUGCAAGCAGCAGGAUUUAGGAUGCUGCUGGAGCGUGGAAUCCUUAUGGGAGACACCUCACAGAGGCAGCAAUGCUACACAACUGGUUUGGAUAAGAGGCGAUGAGAAGCCCCGCAUCCCGCUGCAGGAUGUAGGUCAGGCGGGUGGAAACGUGGGAGCCCUGGGCAGCAGCCAGUGCCCAGCUGGUGCGGGUGGUCUCCCAGGCCUACAGCCACCACAGACAGCCAGGGGCGUGGGCUGCGUUCUGCAGCUUUCCCCCAGCAGCUCUGCAGCAGCGGUGCCUGGAGGCGGAGUGGCCCUGUGAGGGCACGAGCCCGGGCCAUCCCAAACAAAGACUCUCUGCAAGAUCUUUCCUGUGUCGUGGAGUCUGCUCACCUGCGCUGCAGGGACAGCGGGAUGCCCCCACCAAGUGCAGGAGCCUAAGGGCUGAUGCUGAAGCUUCCUGCCCAGGGACUUGCUGCUCUCUGAGGCCUUCCCCAAAGCUCCUGCCCAAUGUCUCUGCACCUCUCGAGCCCUCACACCCAGCCAGGCAGUCAGGCUGCUCCCCACCACCAUCCCAGCAGGCUGUGGCCGGGCCCCCGGUGCGAGGGCACGGGGUAGGAGGCAGCGGGUGCACGGCUGCAUCUCGGCGAGGACACCUUAACGUGGAGGCCUGCGGCCUGCGGCUGCCUCCCGCUCCUCGCACUCCUCGCUGGGAAGCAGCUGACUCGGGGCGGCUGCCAGCGCUGCUGGCUGCUGGAUCCGGCCGCUGCAACGUGCAGUCUGACAUGUAAACCCCGGGCAGGCCUAUGCUAAUGGCUGGGGGAGGGAGCCUGGCUCAGGGGCGAGGGGGAACGGAGGUGGAGGCCGGAGCCCAGCCAGCAAAUUCCCCCCCCCCCCCCUCUGCUCCAUCACCACCUCCCCGCAUCCAUCUGCCUCCCCUCCUCCUCCUCCAUUCAUAAAAUCCGGGCGGCACUGCCAUCUACCGUAGCGUGCAAAGGCCGCCCCACCACCCUGCUGGGCCUGCGGGCAGCCUGCAGCCCCUCCAGCCCACACAAACCUUCAUCCCAUCAUCACCCUGAGGCCCCCCAGCCCAUUCCCUGCACCCUCCAGUGACACAGAGCGGGAUCCUGUCCUUUAGUGCCAGCUUGGGGCCUCCAUUCAGCCCCGUGAACCCCAGCAACAAGCAGUGGGCAGCAGGCGGCAGCCUCCCACCCCUAGGAAGCCCUCAGCUCAUGUUUCCAAACACCUCUGUACAACCACAGUCCUCAGUUGAGAUGGGGAGAUAGGGGAGAUGAAAGCCCUACGCUUCAUUAAUUAGGGCCUGAGGCUUUCAGAGCACAUGGUGGCCAGGACAAGGGUGAGAGCCAGCCCUCAGCAAUAGGCCCCACUCGGGAGAAACCCUCCUACAGCCAAGCUGCCCCUCCGAGAGGUGACCACGGCAGCAGCCGCUUUCCCAGCACAGCAACCCCCUCCCAGCUCCCCACCUAGGGAACGGCUAUCCCCAGGCACCAAAGGGCAGCGACCCCACAGCCCAGUGGGAAGCCGGCAGGGCUGGAGCUCUGGGCUGGGGCUCCUCGGCAGCCCCUACUCCCCAGCAGCCCCCAAGCCCGUGGAGCUCUUUGUUCCCCAGCGCCAGGCCUGAAGCCAGG
ensembl:lncRNA